rnacentral:rRNA from 1 species
CCUACGGGAGGCAGCAGUGGGGAAUAUUCCUCAAUGGGCGAAAGCCUGAUGGAGCAAAGUCGCGUGGAUGAAGAAGGUCCUAGGGUCGUAAAACUUUGUUGUUAGAGGAGAAAGUGCGUGAGAGUAACUGUUCUCGUUUCUACGGUAUGUAUACAGAACGCCACGGCUCACUACGUGCCAGCAGCCGCGGUAAUACGUAGGUGGCAAGCGUUAUCCGGAUUGAUUGGGCGUAAAGGGAGCGCAGGCGGUCUGUUAAGUCUGAUGUGAAAGCGUUCGGCUUAACCGGAGCAGUGCAUUUGAUACUGGCAGUCUUGAGUGCAGUUGAGGUGGGCGGAACUCGAUGUGUAGCGGUGAAAUGCGUAGAUAUAUCGAAGAACUCCAAUUGCGAAGGCAGCUCUCUAAUCUGUAACUGACACUGAGGCUCGAAAGUGUGGGUAGCAAACAGGAUUAGAUACCCUAGUAGUC